rnacentral:pre_miRNA from 1 species
CUUCUACUCCCUCCGUCCCAUAUUAUUAUUAAGUGACGAAAUAUUACAUGUAUCUAGAUGCUUUUGACAUAUAGAUACAUCCACAUUUGGGCAACUUUGAGUCACUUAAUAUGGGACGGAGGGAGUAUAAU